rnacentral:rRNA from 1 species
UACGAAGGGUGCAAGCGUUACUCGGAAUUACUGGGCGUAAAGCGUGCGUAGGUGGUCGUUUAAGUCCGUUGUGAAAGCCCUGGGCUCAACCUGGGAACUGCAGUGGAUACUGGGCGACUAGAAUGUGGUAGAGGGUAGCGGAAUUCCUGGUGUAGCAGUGAAAUGCGUAGAGAUCAGGAGGAACAUCCAUGGCGAAGGCAGCUACCUGGACCAACAUUGACACUGAGGCA